AUAGGGAUUUGGUAGCACACUGUUGGUAGUGCCAGUGUACUACCAACAAUAUCAGUGUAGACUAGAAUAGUUACACAAGUAGCAUCAUACAAACAGACUAUUUGUGUGUUAUCCAGACACUAAUUCAGCAAGGAGGCUAAGAAUGCCUAAGCUGCUCUGUUUACUCUGACUGGCAGGAUGUGCAACAGUUAUGGUUUACCUAAAUGAAGAAGAAGAUUUUCUUGUUUUCAUAUCAGCACGCUGUUUUGGACAGUCGUGUCGUCGUCGUCGUCGUCCCCCUCCCCCCCCCCACCCCGUGGGGGCAGGAAGGGCUGGUGGGCAGGAGAGGUCGCUGCAGGAGAUAUCACAAGAUCUUAGGAAGCAUAAAACUGCUGGUGCUACCAGACCUCGCUCUUUCUGGUUCCGAUAGAGGGGUGCGAAUGCAGAAGCAUGAUCAGGCUGCUCUCUCUCGCUAUGGCUCUCGGCUCUGGCAGUUUCCUCGCUGCUGACCAGACCUUGCCAUUCCCUGCAGCUUGGAGCCCCAUCGAUCCUCACCCCACGCUCCCUGCCGUCGCUCACCACUGAUGUUGUUGCUGCCACUAUCAUCUCAGAGUAAGCACUGCUUACAGCUGCCGUAGCUGCCCGCCACUGCAGCCCAUGAUCACUGUUCGCCCCACACUCCCUGCUGCUGCUCACCGCCGUUGCUCACUCCGCACCUCUGGCGCCAGCGCUGCUCUGCACAUCCCCACACCGUCACUCCGCACACGACCUCCGUCGGAACCUCAUUGCUGUCUCGGUGCCACAGUACUGAAAGACUGGUUUAAGAUGAAAGAAUGAAUGCCAGAGCUGCUCUUAGUACACUACUGCAAAUGAGAAAUGAGCCUAGACUGCUGGGAAAAAUCUUUCUCCAUUUUGCAGCCUUGUCAACAAAGGAGGUUUUCUGAUGUAACUAUCAGAAAGAUCUACAGGACACAGGAUCAGGAGAACCAAGACUUUCAUUAGAGUCACUCAAGAAAUGGUCUAAACCUGGGGAGACUCAGUCUCCUAAGAAUGUUAAAGAAAAUCUGUGUUUAUAAAACUUCACUUUUCUCCAAUGAGACAUCUCAAUGAAAGUCCAAAGACAGCUACUUCUUGGUCAGUACCUGUGACACUAAAGAGCUCUCCAUCCUCACCCCCUGUGGAGCCAGGAGCAGAAUCUGUAAGAAAUGGGAUGCAGAGAUGUUAGCAGGGGUCCAAGUGGUUUGGGGCAUUCAUUGGUAUUCUGCCAGUCUUUCGCUCAAGGGCAUGUGGCCACUCUCAGAAGCCCUGAGAUGGCUCCAGACUGGGGGAGAACAGGUCUUGGGCAUCUCCUGGGAGGUGUGACCAGCCUGUGGGAUGAUGCGGAAGUGGGUUUUGCUCACAUGCUCAGGGAAUAGCCAAUCACCAGUGCUGGGGUCAGGAAGGAACUUUACACCAGUGCAGACUGACAGUCAUCACUCAGGUUUUUUUGAUUCUUCUGCAGCAUUGAGCAUGAUGACUGGUCAGGCUCUUCCAGUCCCUUUUGGCCAGGUUGCUGCCAGCUGCUCAUGCACCACAAAGAUGGCCUCUCACGCCCCACAUCCAUACUUCUUUUUUUUUUCUUCUUUUGUGUGGUUGUUCCUGAUCCUAAUUCUUCAUGUUCUCUUCAGGAAACAGGUUUGUUUGGCCUAUAUUCCUUCUGCUGCUUUCUGCAGCUCUGUCAGAUUGACAGACCGCAAAGGGUGUUUUUUCAAACUAAACUGAGACAUAUCAGCCUGCUCCUGGCUACACAUGCUUGUGAAGAGUGGCUCUGAUAUGGAUUUAUAAAAAUAAAAAUUAAAUAAAACCAAAAAUAAAAUCCCA